AAUCAUCCUCCUGGAUCCAACCUUCUGCUGCAGUAGACACACCGCUCCUGGCCAGAGAAAUGAGCAGCCCCUGAUACUGGGGACUUGUCUCCCUCGCAGCCACAGCUAGUCAGGAACCUUUUCUUAGGAACCUAGCCCUCGCUAAGGGGGCAUUCCCGCCUGUAGCCAGGUGGGCCAUGACCAGAGUCCUCACCAAACC